UAGGGAAUAUUAGAAAUGGACGAAAGUCUGAUCUAGCAACACCGCGUGUGCGAAGAAGGCCUUCGGGUUGUAAAGCACUUUUUGGAAGGAUUAGGAAGGAAUGUACUUCCAGAAUAAGUCUCGGCUAACUACGUGCCAGCAGCCGCGGUAACACGUAGGAGGCAAACGUUAUCCGGACUUACUGGGCGUAAAGCGCGUGUAGGUGGUUCUGUAAGUAGGGCGUGAAAGCUCCUGGCUCAACUGGGAGAGGCCGUUCUAAACUGCAGAGCUAGAGGAUGGUAGAGGGAGGUGGAAUUCCGGGUGCAGUGGUGAAAUGCGUAGAUAUCCGGAGGAACACCAGUGGCGAAAGCGGCCUCCUGGGCCAUUUCUGACGCUAAGACGCGAAAGCUAGGGUAGCAAACG
rnacentral:rRNA from 1 species